CCCCUAGAUGUUCUGGGCCGCACGCGCGCUACACUGAACAGUUCAACAAGUCUUAACCUUGGCCGAUAGGUCUGGGUAAUCUUUGAACGCUGUUCGUGAUUGGGAUAGACCUUUGCAAUUAUUGGUCUUCAACGAGGAAUUCCUAGUAGACGUAGUUCAUCAGACUGCAUCGAUUACGUCCCUGCCCUUUGUACACACCGCCCGUCGCUCCUACCGAUUGGAUGAUCCGGUGAGCUAUUCGGACCUUCGCUUCGUCGAUUUUCGGCUUUGUGAGGGAAAGUCUCGCGAACCUUAUCAUCUAGAGGAAGGAGAAGUCGUAACA
rnacentral:rRNA from 1 species